AGCUUGCUAUAACUGUCAGCUAAGUGGCGCACGGGUGAGUAAUAUAUAGUUAAUCUGCCCUAGAGAAAGGGAUAACGUUUGGAAACGAACGCUAACACCUUAUAUGCCUUUAAGUCUUAAGACUGCAAGGGAAACAUUUAUGGCUCUAGGAUGAGACUGUACGGUAUCAGUUAGUUGGUGAGGUAAUGGCUCACCAAGACAAUGACGCCUAACUGGUUUGAGAGGAUGAUCAGUCACACUGGAACUGAGACACGGUCCAGACUCCUACGGGAGGCAGCA
rnacentral:rRNA from 1 species